UUAGUAACGGCGAGUGAAGCGGCAAAAGCUCAAAUUUGAAAUCUGGUACCUUUGGUGCCCGAGUUGUAAUUUGGAGAGGGCAACUUUGGGACCGUUCCUUGUCUAUGUUCCUUGGAACAGGACGUCAUAGAGGGUGAGAAUCCCGUGUGGCGAGGAGUGCGGUUCUAUGUAAAGUGCCUUCGAAGAGUCGAGUUGUUUGGGAAUGCAGCUCUAAGUGGGUGGUAAAUUCCAUCUAAAGCUAAAUAUUGGCGAGAGACCGAUAGCGAACAAGUACAGUGAUGGAAAGAUGAAAAGAACUUUGAAAAGAGAGUGAAAAAGUACGUGAAAUUGUUGAAAGGGAAGGGCAUUUGAUCAGACAUGGUGUUUUGCGCCCUCUGCUCCUUGUGGGUGGGGGAAUCUCGCAGUUCACUGGGCCAGCAUCAGUUUUGGUGGCAGGAUAAAUCCGUAGGAAUGUAACUUGCUUCGGGAAGUAUUAUAGCCUAUGGGAAUACUGCCAGCUGGGACUGAGGACUGCGACGUAAGUCAAGGAUGCUGGCAUAAUGGU
rnacentral:rRNA from 1 species